AUGUAGUCAAUUAAGCCAACAUGGUUCCUCUGCUGGUGGGUGCCCAGUGUGCAGUGGCUGUGAGCAGCAAUCUCCUUGGUAGUGUAUGCGGCCUGUUGCUUGCAUGGGCUGCCCUAAGGGACCUUGAAGACACUG
ensembl:snoRNA SNORA70 Small nucleolar RNA SNORA70